AGGUCAUGUGGCAACGCCUAUCUGCCCCCCUGCAACCAGCAGUGUGAUUUUGACCGUGCACCGAGCAAGACGUGCUAGUGUUUCGCUUACCAGCUAGGUGCUGGCGUUCCGGCUUGCAAUUGGGCGUGAGACAAAAGAUGUUCGAAUAUCUUCAGACACACCGCCCAACGGCAGCCUGACACCAUGUUACUAGUUGCAGGGGCCGAUGGACCAGCUCUCCUCGCUCGACGCACCGUCACUCCACUCACUCAAGCAACAAGCAAGACAUCAACAUUCGAAGCUGAAACAAGACCACCCGCAAACCUUAUCCUGUCUCACAAAUUACUUAGGUUCUCUUCUGCCUCAAGUAAUCUGUGACACCUAAGUCAGAAUGCUAAGAAGUAUUCAGAAAAACCUGUCGACCUCAACUUAUCUAGAGUCAGUCGAAGCAGGUUUUAGUUGACUCGACUACUUGAAGAUCACUAGAGGUUAUAAUGCCGUAACAUCUCCCCGGUCAGGCGGAUCUCCGUCUACAGAAGCUUUCCGGACCCGGACAUUAUAUUUCCACGCGACGGGGCAUGGUUUGUCCUGAGACCAUGCAUUUUUGCUAUACUUCUUGACAUGCACAUGGGUAAAAUGCUGACGAGCACACAGCAUUAUAUUCAUCAUCAUAUAGAUUUAGUCCAGGCACGUAGGGGUAUUGGGGGUCAAUCCCCUUCAAUCUCGGGGUUUAAUUUCUUUAUGUUGUUUUUUUUUUGGGAGUUUCUGGCUUCUCCCUGGGGCAGAACGCGCCUGAACUAGAACCUGCAUUCUGUUUAGUUUCAUGUGCUCCCUAAGGGAAUGGGGUCCGAGGCAAUCAUGCUCGUGGUCGUUGGUUUGCGUUACAUUGCGGACUGACUUAUCACCUUUAAUAAAACCGCCGAAGAAAGCCACCGAUGGUCACGAAUGCACUUGCUUCGGAUUUCAUUUGUGGGUCAUAUUUCAGCGAAUGGUUGUUCGGAAGCCCGAAGCCCGGACCUUCAUAUACCAUACCUUGUGUAUGUGCAUAGAAUUAGUCUAAGAAACCUCACUAAAUUGUCUAUAAUUAAACUAUAUUUAAGGAA